AAAAAGACAAACCUGAUUUCCGUGUCCAACGUUUAACCAUCCGUUUUAUUUAAAAAAAUUAUGAAAAAAUUAAAAAAACAAUUCACACAUAAAAUAUUAAUCAUGUUUAUCAUCUAACAACAAUAAAAAUACGAAUUAUAAAAAAAAUUUCAUAUAAGACGGACAAUUAAAGUUGGACACGGAAACCUAGGAUUUGUCUUUUU
rnacentral:pre_miRNA from 1 species